rnacentral:lncRNA from 1 species
UUAGAUUUUUAUUUGAUUUAUCUAUUUAUAUUUUUCUCAAGAGGAUACAAAUGACUAAAUUUUCUUGUCAUGGUUUAGAGAUCCCUAGCCCAUCCAUGUUUUCCUAAAAUGUAUGGUCUAAAAGUGACUAUUGCAAUAAAUUCUCUUAGAAAAAAAAAAAGAAAAGAAAAGAAAAGAAAAAAAGAGCUUCAAAUUUUAUUCUAAUUACCAUUAUUUUUGAGAGUUAACUCCCUCAUUUCUCCAAGGAAUAUGUUGUUUUCUUCCAUUCUUUUACACAUAUCAUGCUCACCUUAUUUUAUCAUCCUCUCAUUUGAUUUGAUUUGAUUUGAUUUUUUUUGUUUUGUUUUAUCUUGUCCAUCUUCCUCCUUUGACACCCUCUAUUGAUUUGAACAAAGUAUGCAGUGGCUGAUUCAUAAACUGCUAACCCUAAUUUCAAUAACUUCCAGGAUUUAAACAUGUGAUCCAUUGCCCUGUUAUGCUGCUCACAGCAUGAGAGACUCAUCACCCUUGAACCAAACAGAAACCACAACAUAUAGUUCUGCUGUUAUUCACAU